rnacentral:tRNA from 1 species
AAGGCUUUAUCUUAAUAAAAGUUUCUGAUUUGCAUUCAGAGUAUGUAGGUUAAUAUCCUGCAAGCCUUACA